rnacentral:rRNA from 1 species
ACAUGCCUACAACAUAAUGUUAAUGCACCAGAUCCCAUUAGAACUUUGUAGUGAAGUGCGCUCGGAAUAAACUAGUACUGGGAUGGGUGACCACCCGAGAAGUCCUAGUGUUUUACAUGCC